rnacentral:rRNA from 1 species
CCCUUAGAUGUUCUGGGCAGCACGCGCGCUACAAUGGUCUUCGCAAACGGAUGCAUUCUCGAAGGAGAAUGCCAAUCUUGGAAUCUAUGCCUUGGUCGGGACAGUUGCUUGCAAUUUUUCGACUCGAGCCAGGAAUUCCUUGUAAUCGUGAUUCAUCACAUCACGAUGAAUACGUCCCUGCCCUUUGUACACACCGCCCGUCGCUCCUACCGAUUGAAUGUGUUGGUGAGGAGCUCGGAUUGGCAGCAGUUGGUGGUUCGCCACCGGCUAUUGCUGAGAAGUCCUCCAAACCGCCCCAUUUAGAGGAAGGAGAAGUCGUAACA